GGAAUGAUGGGGCUCACCACUGCUUUUUUUUUUUUUUUAACUUUUCUUGUCCUUCCCCUUAUCUUUUAAUUUUUCCAUUCCAAUUUCCUCUCCUUUCUAAGAUGCUGAACAAGUUUGUAAGAAUGGGGAUUGAUCUGUCUUAAGAAAAGGCAGCUACAAAUUACACUGUCUUCUAAAGAACAGCUCAGCAGAGUGAAAGGAUAAGCAGUUUAGAAUGUGUAAAGGACGCCAACUUCUUGGAGAGGCAGAGGGAGAUGGAUUAUACAGGCUGCCUCUGCAGCUGAAGAAUCUCAACAAGCACAUGGUGGCAGUACUCUGGACAGCUUGUCCCCGAAGAACAAUCUCAUUACAUCUAUACUCUGAAAAUGGAGCUGGUUGAAGAUCGGUGAUGCUGGAGCAGCUUUCGGGUCCAGUCAUCAAAGAUACCACCUGAGUUGAAGCAUGAAUGAUGUGGAGCCAACCACGUGGAAUCCUGCAGAAGAGUCUUCCAGGCUGAGGAAACAGGUGGUGCAGGGACCCACAGUUGAGGACAAGGAGGAGACAAAGUCUGGUGUGGCUGCGGUUUGGGGACCAAGACAGAGACUGGCAUGUGAUGAGGUCAGAAAGGUUGGCAGCGUCCAGAACUGCAGAGCCCUUCAAGCUAUGCUUGUGGGAUCUUAGUUUCCCGACCAGAGAUUGAACCUACACCCCCUACAAUGGAAGCACAGAGUAUUAACCACUGGACCACCAGGGAAGUCCCUGAGAUAAGACAACUGGGGCCUCGAGAUUAUAACUAACUUAUGGGGAGGCAGACAGCAGCUCACUGCGUGGAAGAAUACCCAACAGCUUGGGUUCCUGAAAGCCUGGAGGUCAGCCUCACACAGCAGGGACGUCCAUGGACUCCACCCUCUUGUCCUUUAUGGCUUCUAGGAAAAGUGUGGAAAAGGUGAUGCCACCCUCUUCCCUGGGCUCUGGUGGGAAUGAUUCAUG